CCUACGGGAGGCAGCAGUGAGGAAUAUUGGUCAAUGGACGAGAGUCUGAACCAGCCCCGUCGCGUGCAUGAUGACGGCCCUAUGGGUUGUAAACUUCUUUUAUAUGGGAAUAAAUGGUUCCACGUGUGGGAUUUUGUCUGUACCACAUGAUUAAGGCUCGGCUAAUUCCGUGCAAGCAGCCGCGGUAAUACGGAGGAUCCGGGCGUUAUCGGGAUUUAUUGGGUUUAAAGGGUGCGUAGGGGGAUGGGUAAGUCUGUGGUGAAAGGUUGCGGCUUAACCGUGGAAUUGCAGUUGAAACUGGCGGUCUUGAGUGCGGUAGAGGUAGGCGGAAGUCGUGGUGUAGCGGUGAAAUGCUUAGAUAUCACGAAGAACUCCGAUUGCGAAGGCAGCUUACUGGACCGCAACUGACGCUGAGGCUCGAAAGUGUGGGUAUCAAACAGGAUUAGAUACCCCAGUAGUC
rnacentral:rRNA from 1 species